CAAUCUAUUUGAGGCAGAUCCUCAUUUAGUUCUGGCCGAUUCACACAUAACUUCUCAAAAUCACUCGUUAUUACAAGUCUGACUAUCAUUGACAUUGAAAAACAGAGAAAAACUAUUAUGUGAAUAUUGGCAAGCUGACUGGUUA
rnacentral:pre_miRNA from 13 species